CUACGGGUUGCACCAGUGGGGAAUAUUGCACAAUGGGGGAAACCCUGAUGCAGCGAUGCCGCGUGAACGAAGAAGGCUUUCGAGUCGUAAAGUUCUGUUCUUAGGGAAGAAAAUGACGGUACCUAAGGAGAAAGCACCGGCUAAAUACGUGCCAGCAGCCGCGGUAAUACGUAUGGUGCAAGCGUUGUCCGGAAUUACUGGGCGUAAAGAGUUCGUAGGCGGUCAAAUAAGUCAGGAGUGAAAGGCUACGGCUCAACCGUAGUGAGCUUUUGAAACUGUUUGACUUGAGUACUGGAGAGGAAAGUGGAAUUCCUAGUGUAGCGGUGAAAUGCGUAGAUAUUAGGAGGAACACCAGUGGCGAAGGCGGCUUUCUGGACAGUAACUGACGCUGAGGAACGAAAGCGUGGGGAGCAAACAGGAUUAGAUACCCCGGUAGUC
rnacentral:rRNA from 1 species